GAUGAACGCUAGCGGUAGGCCUAACACAUGCAAGCCGAGCGGUAUUUGUUCUUCGGAACAGAGAGAGCGGCGCACGGGUGCGGAACACGUGUGCAACCUGCCUUUAUCUGGGGGAUAGCCUUUCGAAAGGAAGAUUAAUACCCCAUAAUAUAUUGAGUGGCAUCAUUUGAUAUUGAAAACUCCGGUGGAUAGAGAUGGGCACGCGCAAGAUUAGAUAGUUGGUGAGGUAACGGCUCACCAAGUCAAUGAUCUUUAGGGGGCCUGAGAGGGUGAUCCCCCACACUGGUACUGAGACACGGACCAGACUCCUACGGGAGGCAGCAGUGAGGAAUAUUGGACAAUGGGUUAGCGCCUGAUCCAGCCAUCCCGCGUGAAGGACGACGGCCCUAUGGGUUGUAAACUUCUUUUGUAUAGGGAUAAACCUACUCUCGUGAGAGUAGCUGAAGGUACUAUACGAAUAAGCACCGGCUAACUCCGUG
rnacentral:rRNA from 1 species